CACACACAGAUGUUAGUAGAAGUUGACUGACUAUCUAGCCCACACUGCUGCACAAUCAUUGUUUUUUUGUCUAAUUCUAAUAUGAAUGCACGUGUGAAUUGGCAUAAUGUGUUAUGUGUGUGGGUGUGAAAUUACAUUUCAAUAGCCUGCAAAACAUCCCCAUGCCUAUAGUACCCCCAGUGUUUUAGGUUUUAGAUGUUUAAAUGAAUCACACUUUGUCUUAAAUAGGAUAGGGUAUGUUUAUAUGGAUGUCAAAGCAUGCCUGAUGUUGAUAUGACUCUGAAUAUCUGUUCAGAAAUGUGGCUCCUCAGCCUGAUGGCCUGUCUGGUUAAGAAGACACUGCUUCUGCCAUCCCAUCCCCCGUGCCAUUCCCCUACCCCCCACUGCCCCCCUCUCUCACUUGUACACUUGGGAUUUUUCCGCUUCUGUCCCUGGGCAGCCUCAGUGACCAGGCUCAAGAGGUGUGUCCUGGCUGUGCUGUACAUCUGUGUGCUUAACCCCUUAGCACAGCACCUAUGUUAUAACCUUACUGUCACCAAAAUUUUAAUAUGUAUGUCUUAAUCUGUUACUCUGCACUGUCAUAGCAAUGUUGUUAUGAUGUAGUUUUCAGCAAAUAGUGAAUAGGCCCGCUGGCAACCCCAUCUGCACUGCAGUAAGAGGCUACGGAAUGCUUUUUUGGGGGGUGCAACACCCAUCGCCAUUUUUUUUUUUACAAUACCACUCCACCAGGAAAAAUGUCUAAUUGUUUGCCUGUCUAUUUAUUCAUUCUUUUUUCUUUUCUUUUGUACAAGGCAAGUUGCAGGAAGCAGCUGAAGUAAAGGAAGCCAAGAGCAUCCUCAUUCACAUCAAGGACAGAGACUGUGUGGCUCUGGAGGUGCAGUACCACAGAAGUUGCUACAGAGAGUACACAAGGUUUUUGAGUGAGCCUGUCAGAGCAGAGAAAGAACAGAUUGGGCCAACAUUUGAUCUGAGCUACAAGUUAUUCUGCGAGAGGGUAAUCCGCUAAAGGCUACUGAUCAACCAAGAGGUGCUGAGGAUGAGCCAACUGAGGAAGGCCUUUAUUGCCCUUGUGCAGUCAAGUGAAGGUGUUGAUGCUUCAACCUACAGACAGGAUAUAUUGAAGAAGAGGCUCAGUCGUGAUUUUCCUCAGCUAGUGUUCCACACCCCCGCCAAACGCAACACAUCUGAACUGGUUUUUGCUGAGAACUUGUCGACGAAUGCAGUCUUGGACUUGUUACCAUCAGGUGCGGAGACGACUCAGUCCAGCGAAAUGAGCCAGACAGACAGCGACACAGAAAGGAGGAAGUCAAAGCAACCAACCACAGCAGAGGAGACACGGACACUUUACACAGCAGCUUUGCUUUUGAAGAGGCUGCUUAGUCACAGUCCUGGCAUGUCAUGCCCAUGGCCCCCAACUGCAGUAAACUUCAAUCUCACUGAAGUCAUUUGCUGUGGCAUGCGCAAAAGAUGUGUACCUGGAUGCUUUCACACAGUUCAUGAAAAUGCCGGUUCAUGUGUAUGCCACUUGUUUUGAUUUUUUUAUUUGUUGUAUAGUUAUUAGUGAAUAAAUGAAUACCUGAAUGGUCCUUAUCAUUGAUCAUUAGAUUAUUUCCAUUUAUUAAUGUGAAUAUGAAAAGGUAACCUUAUCAUCCACUUGCAUAAUAGUUGUUGGUGCUAUAAACAAAGCACUGUUACAAUCACUUAGAGGGUUA